GACGAACGCUGGCGGCGUGCUUAACACAUGCAAGUCGAACGAAAAUACCAAGCUUGCUUGGUUGAUUAGUGGCGAACGGGUGAGUAACACGUGUGUAACCUGCCCCUUACUUUCCUGGAUAACUGCUCGAAAGGGUAGCUAAUACGGGAUAUUCUGACCAGCCUGCAUGGGUUGGUUUGGAAAGGUUGUUUUUCUGGUAAGGGAUGGGCUCGCGGCCUAUCAGCUUGUUGGUGGGGUGAUGGCCUACCAAGGCUUUGACGGGUAGCCGGCCUGAGAGGGUGGACGGUCACACUGGGACUGAGAUACGGCCCAGACUCCUACGGGAGGCAGCAGUGGGGAAUAUUGCACAAUGAGCGCAAGCCUGAUGCAGCGACGCCGCGUGAGGGAGGAAGGCCUUCGGGUUGUAAACCUCUUUCGUCAGGGAACAAGGCACUGCUUUUGUGGUGGUGUUGAGGGUACCUGGAUAAGAAGCGCCGGCUAACUACGUG
rnacentral:rRNA from 1 species